rnacentral:tRNA from 1 species
UCCGUUGUAGUCUAGUCGGUCAGGAUAUUCGGCUCUCACUCGAAAGACCCGGGUUCGAUUCCCGGCAACGGAU